GGCUACUCCCCCCCCCCCCCCUUUCUCUAGAGAAAGCAUUAAUUUGCCAAAGCCUGAUAUUAAAGUAUUAAAGAUCUCAUGUAAUCAGAAUUAAUUCAUUAUUCUUGUAAAGUAGUACAUGAUUCACAGUUUUAUUGUUGUUGCGAUUUGAUAUAAGUGUAGUACUAGUGUAGAGGCAGCAGAAGAGCUAAUCAAGGAAAUGCGACCCGAUGAACAUAAGAAAAAGAAAAGUGCCCAGUACAGACAGAAACAUGGUGGAGCAAAUUCUUCUCAGAAAAAUACUUCUGAACACAAAAGUAAAGGUGAAAAGCAAAAGACAAAACCGGCUAAAGAUGUUAAAAAAUCUGUAGCUGUGAACCCCACAUCUACAACAAUUUCAGAUUCAUCAGAGGAAGAUGAUAUCAAUUUGCCCCAGUGUAUUUUUGAAAAAAAGACAUUUCUACGACGAAAGAUUGUAUCUAAUUGGGAUAGAUAUGAAAUACCAAUUGUUGAGGAUAGCAAUGAAGAAACGAGGGGAACUGAUUUUACACAGCUUCUGAGUUUAACAAGUGGUGCUGGCUCUCAGUUUAGACUUAAAGAUGAAAAGGAAUGGGAAAGUGAAUUGUCUGCUACUCCUAAUCAAUAUUUAACCCUUGAUCUGGAGGAUUUGUCAGACUCAUUGAACUGUAUUCCACUAUAUAAAAGAUUAGGUGUGGAUAAAAGUCUGUUCACAGAAUCUCAGUUACAAUCAAUGGAAAAGGAAGCAGAAGUGAACAAACAAAAAUACAAACUUACCAAAAUGCAGCAGAUAAAUUCUAGUUCAACAAAACAUGUGAUACAGAUUUUGAAUACUGAAGAAGAGCAAGACCUCCAUAAAUUAAUGGACGAUAUAGAUUUAAAUGAUUCUAGAAUGAACACUGAAGAUGGUUUUCUGAGCAGUGCGAACACUAAACUUAGUAAUAUUGAACCAAACGAACAAUUGUCUACGAAGACGGACAUUAAUGUGCCUUCAAUACAUAAACAAGAAGAAGAACUUGAAUUGCUUUUAUUACUCAAUAAUUCACCCACACCAGAUCAAGCAGUUUCAGUAGCUAACAAAGAAAAUACUGUAACUCAGCAAGUGGAAGAGUCUUUAAUACAAACACAAACCAACUGUAAAACAUCUAAAACUCAAGGAGUGGGGUUGAGAGAAAGAUGUUAAUUUUAAAUAUUAAUGUGUAACUGUUGUGACAUAAAAACAUUUAGCAAAAACACUAUCGUUGUUCCUGUUACUUAUUUGAUUUUGGUAUCAUAAGAAAAGACAGCAGUGAAUUCUUAAGAAAAGAGAUACAACAGUAGCCAGUCCAAAGUCAAAAAAACACUUAGACAUCAUGCCAAAAGAGAGUAGAAGUUGGUUUACCUGAAGAAGAAAAUUUAGAAGAUUGGUUAGAUAGUGUAUUGGACAGUUAGCAUUAUAUAGUUAACAGAUGUAAAUAGUGCAAUAAAAUUUAUUCUAUAAAAAUAA